AGAGUUUGAUCCUGGCUCAGAAUCAACGCUGGCGGCGUGCCUAACACAUGCAAGCCGAACGAGAAAGUGGAGCAAUCCAUGAGUAAAGUGGCGCACGGGUGAGUAACACGUGACUAACCUACCCUCGAGUGGGGAAUAACCUCGGGAAACCGGGGCUAACACCGCAUAAUAUCUACGGAUCAAAUGCGUAAGCAGCUUGAGGAGGGGGUCGCGGCUGAUUAGCUAGUUGGCGGGUAAUGGCCCACCAAGGCAGUGAUCAGUAGCCGGCCUGAGAGGGCGCACGGCACACUGGAACUGAAACACGGUCCAGACUCCUACGGGAGGCAGCAGUGGGGAAUUUUGCGCAAUGGGGGAAACCCUGACGCAGCAACGCCGCGUGGAGGAUGACGCCCCUUGGGGUGUAAACUCCUUUCGAUCGGGACGAUUAUGACGGUACCGAUAUAAGAAGCACCGGCUAACUCUGUGCCAGCAGCCGCGGUAAUACAGAGGGUGCAAGCGUUGUUCGGAAUUAUUGGGCGUAAAGGGUGCGUAGGCGGUGCGGUAAGUCUUUUGUGAAAUCUCCGGGCUUAACUCGGAGCCUGCAAGGGAAACUGCCGUGCUGGAGUAUGGGAGAGGUGAGUGGAAUUCCCGGUGUAGCGGGAAAUGCGUAGAUAUCGGGAGGAACACCUGUGGCGAAAGCGGCUCACUGGACCAUUACUGACGCUGAUGCACGAAAGCUA
rnacentral:rRNA from 1 species